GACAGAGGUGCCAAGCGUUAGGCGGAAUUACUGGGCUUAAAGCGUGUGUAGGCGGGCGAUCAAGUACCUUGUGAAAUCCCACGGCUCAACCGUGGAACUGCUGGGGUAUACUGGUUGUCUUGAGCCAGCUAGGGGCGAGCGGAACAGACGGUGGAGCGGUGAAAUGCGUAGAUAUCAGGAGGAACACCAAUGGCGAAGGCAGAUCUCUGGGCCGUAACUGACGCUGAGGAGCGAAAAGCAUGGGGAGCGAACAGG
rnacentral:rRNA from 1 species